rnacentral:rRNA from 1 species
GCUACACAUGCAGUCGAGCGGAACGAUGGUAGCUUGCUACCAGGCGUCGAGCGGCGGACGGGUGAGUAAUACUUAGGAAUCUACCUAGUAGUGGGGGAUAGCACGGGGAAACUCGUAUUAAUACCGCAUACGACCUACGGGAGAAAGGGGGCAGUUUACUGCUCUCGCUAUUAGAUGAGCCUAAGUCGGAUUAGCUAGAUGGUGGGGUAAAGGCCUACCAUGGCGACGAUCUGUAGCUGGUCUGAGAGGAUGAUCAGCCACACCGGGACUGAGACACGGCCCGGACUCCUACGGGAGGCAGCAGUGGGGAAUAUUGGACAAUGGGGGAAACCCUGAUCCAGCCAUGCCGCGUGUGUGAAGAAGGCCUUUUGGUUGUAAAGCACUUUAAGCAGUGAAGAAGACUCUUCGGUUAAUACCCGGAGACGAUGACAUUAGCUGCAGAAUAAGCACCGGCUAACUCUGUGCCAGCAGCCGCGGUAAUACAGAGGGUGCAAGCGUUAAUCGGAUUACUGGCGUAAGCGAGCGUAGGUGGCUGAUAAGUCAGAUGUGAAAUCCGGCUAACUGGACUGCAUCUGA